rnacentral:lncRNA from 1 species
UUUAGGGACCCCCAUGGGGUUCCUCUGCCCCUCCCUCACUGGGAGAUGGACCCCAGCAGUAGCUGGUCUCAGGCUGCUUGGCCAUACUCCACCCCCAUUCUUUGACUUAUCAUCCAUCCUCACCCAGCAUGGGGCCUAAACCUCUCUGUCCUCUCCCGAGGGCAGUACCCGGGCCCUUCUGCCCCUUUGGAGGUGUCACCUCAGGGGCUUCCUCUUGCUGCUGGAUGUCCAUUCCCAUCGGCCCUCCAAACCGUUUUGACAGCACUAGUUCCUGUAUUUUCUCCAAACCUACCAGACAGUGGCCGACCACCAGAAACCACAAGCAUGGCCCUUUUAUUUCUCCAGCAGAAUGUCGCACACACCGAUGCACACGACACCACGCACACCGAUGCACACGACACCACGCACACCGAUGCACACGACACCACGCACUCCGAUGCACACGACACCACACACACUUGAAGGCGUGAACACAAAGCCACUUGAUCUUUCCCGGGAAGGACAGGAGGAUUUAGAGCAUCCACAUGUCUCCCCAGGCCCUGCCUCAGAGUUUGACUUGCUCCCCUCCUCAAAAAAAGGUUCCAGGAGUCCUCUGGUUGCCCUAAGGACUACCUUGGUGUCCCCACAGUGUAACUCAGGCCUAGUCUCAGCGAGGACACAUGCAUCCAGUGCUACAGCCACUGCACCUGGCUCUCAUGGGCACCGGUCUCUGCCCCACUUUCUCGUUUCUAUUGGCAGCACAGCAUAUUGGCACAAAUGCUCAAACACUG